GGAACAGAGCGAGACUAGGUCUCAAAAAUAAUAAUAAUAAUAAAAGAUAGAAGCAACUCAACUGUCCAUCUUUGUCCAAUGAACGGAUAAAGAAAAUGUGAUUUAUACAUAUAAUGGGCUAUUAUUGGAUGGGAUUAAUUACUUAAUACUAAUGGAAUAUUAUUCACCCUCCAUUCAGUGUGCCUCCUCUCACUUUAUUAUGCCAAUCAUUCAGUCCUAGCCCCAUCAGGAUCCAGCGCUUGCCCUUCCAGGCCAAAGAGGCAAAAAAGUGGCAUGACUGUGGUCUCUGCAGGCAUCCUCCAUCAACACAGAUCCUGGCCUCAAGAUUUCAUUCUUCCCCUUCUCCCUCCCUGACCUGUCUUGUAAGUGGAAGAUAGGAUUUAUUUUCCCACUGAGGUAGACUGUGCCAACCCCAUCAGAGGUUCCUACAGUGAGAUUUGGUGCAAAAUGACACAUUUUUUCAACCCUUUUUCACAAGAUACCAUGUCUGUCUACAAAACUGUCUCUGGACUGGGGCAAAAUGCAUUAAAUCAGUGGGGUGUGAGAAAAUCAGUAAAUAGUGUGGGAGGAAAAUAUUCGAACAUUUAUAUUUCUAUAUAAAAAUAAGAAAUUAAACUAUGAGUGUCUGGACGGAGAGAGGAGGGAAACAAAGAACAAAAGGGACUAAGACGGCGUAUUUCCGGGUUCUUCAUCACCAACUUUCCCGCGCCCGGGAAAAGACACAGGUCAACUGCGCAGGUGCAACCUGACGACCCACCGAGGAAACCGAAACCUACCUGGCCGCGCCUACCACACGGCCCCCAGCCCGCCCAUGUCCGGCCUACUGCCCUUCCACGCCCAGGCCCAAGACAUAAAGCGGCUCCGGGCAGACACGCGGCGCGAACUUCCUCGGCCUCUCCUCAUAUGCGGACCCAGGAACUUCCCCCGAGAAACGCCGGAGCGACUUCCUCGGCCUCCGCCGCCGGAGACCGGUGAACUUCGCCCUUUCUUCUUUCACAUUGGCUAGCUAAUAAAGUUUCUUUUUACUUUGCCUACUUGCCUUUUCUCUGGCGCCCGCUCUGGUGGCCGCACAAAACAAAUCAGGUGGUGCCGAACCCGGGAGGAGACCCCUCCUCAGGGCCCCCCCAAGGUCCGAGGAGCCUCCUCCUUCCACGUCGCGGACGGACCAGGACCUAGACAUCGCUUUCCACACCUCCAUGUCACCUGGGGGAGAAACAUUGGAAGUCUGAUUGCCCCGCCAGCAGGGCAGGCAUUGCGCCUCAACGUGUUGCCUCUCCUCAAAGGCCAGAAGGCUCCUUCCAGCUCCUACACCUGGACGACGACUGACGGUGCCCACACUCGGAGACCCCGGUCACCCUCGCUGAGCCUAGGGUAACUCUACAGAUAGCGGGUAAGCCAAUUUAUUUUCUCAUCAAUACGGAGGCUACCUAUUCUGUUUUGUCAACCUAUGGAGGUCCUAGUCAGCCAUCCACUAUCUCAGUAUUUGGGCUAGACGGUAAACCGUCUAACCCUCGCCAGACCCCAAUGUUAAAUUACUGCCUGGACUAUGCAUGCUUUGCCCACUCUUUCCUCCUCAUGCCCUCUUGUCCCACCCCCUUCUUGGGAUGAGACAUCUUAACCUAACUCAGAACAUCUAUUCCCCUUCCCUUUCUCCAGGUGACCAGGUUCUGCCCAAAGAUCAACACCCUCCUCAAAUUUUCCCACUUCCUCACUAUUCUUCAUCUUAACUGACUUUUCCCUCAUAAACCCCAUAGACACCCUCCUUCCCGACCCAUCCCCCAACCAGUAGGUUUCCCGACUUUUUACUCUCAUAGAAGACCUAGCUUGGCAGGGUGCCCUUUGUGAUUUCAGCAAUGUUGAACUUACCCUCUACACCUUUGUCAUCAUUAUUAUGGCUCACUCUAAUUCCCCUAGUUACUCCUACUAAUCCUAACUUUGUAUGGAGAUUCCUAUAACUGAAACCUGGUCUACAGACAACCAGAUACACUCAGUCAUGCAGGGCACUGCAGAUUAUGCCCCACCCCCAGGGUUGUCACUCUGCCCUCUCCACUCAGGUCCAGGCAGCCAUAGAGGCUUCAGCUGAAAGCUUAGCCUCUUUACAACGUCAGAUCACCUCAGUGGCACAGGUAGCAACACAAAAUAGACAGGCAUUAGAUCUUACAGCUGAAAAAGGAGGGACAUGCCUUUUCUUAGGAGAAGAAUGCUGCUAUUACAUAAACGAGUCAGGUCUAGUUGACACCAACAUCCAAACCCUAAACAGGCUUAAAACAGAACUCAAAAACUACAACACUCCCUUAACCCCUGGUCCACCUAUAUGGUUAUUACCAGUAAUACAACAAAUGCUCCCAUUCCUCAUUCCUAUCUUAAUCCUAUGUCUUAUACUGUGCUUUACUCCCAUUUUAAUAAAAUUUCUCCGAGCCAAAGUGCAAGAGAUCACCCGCGUUGCCUUCAGCCAGAUGCUCCUACAUCCCUAUGUCCAGAUACAAACCACAGACCCUAACUACGCCCCUUAACAGCAGGAAGCAGCCAGACAGACAACGACGCCCCCAAUCACUAUAAUCAAUAAAAGGUUGGACUGUCUGGACGGAGGGAGGAGGGAAACAAAGAACAAAAGGGACUAAGAUGGCAUAUUUCCAGGUUCUUCAUCACCAACUUUCCCGCGCCCGGGAAAAGACACAGGUCAACUGCGCAGGUGCAACCUGACGACCCACCGAGGAAACCGAAACCUACCUGGCCGCGCCUACCACACGGCCCCCAACCCGCCCAUGUCCGGCCUACUGCCCUCCCACUCCCAAGCCCAAGACAAAGCCACUCCGGCAGACACACGGCGCGAACUUCCUCGGCCCCUCCUCAUAUGCGGACCCAGGAACUUCGCCCGAGAACCCCGGAGCGACUUCCUCGGCCUCCACCGCUGGAGACCGGUGAACUUCGCCCUUUCUUCUUUCACAUUGGCUAGCUAAUAAAGUUUCUUUUUACUUUG